CGUCAGCUCCCCUGUGAUCCCGCGUGUGUGGGGCGGCGGCGGCCGCAAGCCGGGGCGCGGGGCCGGCCGGCAGCCGCUGCUCUUUCACAGCCCCAGGCCCUUCGCGGCCUGCCUGCGGCUGGCGACCUCCCGUCCCCUCCCGGGGCGCCCCGAGGACCCCUGCCCCACACCAGAGGCUCCUGCGGUCUCCUGAUUCGGUUCAAUGUCCCUGAAACCCAGAGAGAGGGAGCCUGAGCUCUUGAGAAAGACCUGAAGGCCCUUGCCGCUCUCGGCAUCAUUCACUCCUCCCUAAUCGGGUCAGUUAAUUGCUGAGUGCUCGCUUCCUGACCUGCGUGAUGGCCUAGGAGCCCGCAGCGUGUAGACGUGGGUGACUCUCAGCUCAGCUCCCAAGUGUGGGCCUCGGAAGACCGUCUGUGCUACCUGAUAACAAGCACCAGGUAACAGCACUUGGCACUUUCCAUGGGAUUUUAUUAUUAUCUUGUUUACUUUUCACAACGGUGUCUUUUAAGGGUGAUUAAACAAGCUUAGGGAGAUUCAGAAAUCUGCCCAAACCUCACAGUUCAUACGUGGCAGAUGUGUCUGACUCCAUGCUUGAAAGAGCUCCUCAGUUUCGGGCUAGGCAGAGUUGGAUCAAUAUGGUGUGGUAAGAAGUAGCAGAAAGGCAGAAGGGCAAAGGGGCCUGAGAAGGCAUUCUACCUUUUGUUAGAUACUAGUUUAGAAACAGUUUGCAGAAGCGACAUUCUCAUUCUCACUGGAGGGACCCAGUAUUAGCUUUUGCCUUUGAGGGAUUUCCGCACAGGCUUGAUAUUUUAACCAGCGUCAGAAAAAGUCAAAUGCUCACAAUGGCGAUACCCCCACUGUCAUUCUUCACUCCUUGUACUUAAUGUGAAACUCCUGAUAGGUGAAAUGCUAAAAAUUCAACAUGGCUCCAGAAUUCAAAGAUGUGAUAGCUUCAACAGCAACAAUCAGAUAUUGGUUAAUGCAUUGAUAUGAAUGGAAAUGGACUAUGGGAGAACCAAAGUGAUGCCCUCCUUGCUGCCCUAAGAAUAAUUUUACAAUUUAGAAUGCUUGGCUUGAUAUUUGUUCUUUUGCAUAUACUAUAAAGUGAAACUUGCUGGCAUCUUCAGGGUCUAAUGCCAUGAGACCAUCUUCAAGAUGGAAUUGUAUCACAAUGCCUUGUGACACUUCAAAAACUAGACUUCUUUCAGGAAAAUCAAAGAGAAUUUUAUAGAGAAUUAUAUUUGAGAAAGAUUCCCUUGUAACUGGAAGCAACUUAUACAUUUUAUUUUACAGGGUUAGAAUUAUUUAUUUAAUAGAGCAACUUUGGUCCAAGCUAACAUCAGUGGAAUGCCAUUUUGGUAUGGUUUUUCAUUUAUUUCAAAAGCAAGUCCAGGGAAGCCAGAUCAAUCAGGAACCCGAUUAUGUUUCUGCAUAUAUGAAAAAGGAAUAAUCCUAUUGAGAAGGCUUAUCUUGGCCAAGCAUAUGGCUAACAGAAGCAAUGUAGCUUUCUAGUGACAUCUGUGUAGGGUUGGUUGAUUGUGGUAAAGAGCUAGGAAUGGGGACUGCCAAGUUCUAAUAAAAUUCCUCUCACACUUCAAUCUCGCAAAAGAAAAAUGAUGCACUUUACUCACAGUGGCCAAGCACAACAAGAAUUGACAGCCAUAGUACUGGCCUAAAGAAUUGCCACCUAUCAGGAAAUCCUUCAGUCAUUUACAUCUUAGUAUGAAUUUGUUUUCCUCUUAAGUGAGAGAUGGAAUCAAUACAUUUUUCCACAGUUUAUUCUUUUGCAACUCACUAAAUGUUUUAUAGUAAAUAUAUUUCUUUUCAUGAUCCA